rnacentral:lncRNA from 1 species
CCCUGAGUCACCCCCGGCGCCCCGCGCCCGUCCGGAAGCCCCGGCCCCUCCCUCUGCCUGCCGGACCGGGGAGGGGCCGGGAACUUUCCGGGCCGCCGCCCCGCCCUCCGCGGCUAAGCCGGGCGCGCGGGGCCGGUCGCGCUGUCUCGCGAGCGGCGCGGGGAACGGAGCUGCGGCCGGAGUCCGGCAGAGCGCGACACAUUUAGCAAGUUUCAAGGGUCCAAGUCAGCCUGGUACAAGUGUGACGCGGAGGGUCGGCCUAGUCCAUCCCAGGUUCCGUUUCCGUGGAGCGCAGCAGGGUGACCGCCCGCCGUGAGGACCGGACCGCUGUCUCUUGUCUCCUCCUACUGACAGACCCUCCGUGGGAGCGCAUUACCCAGGGACACCUGGCGACCAGGGAGUUGUGCUUCCUCAGGGAGCUGUCUGUGAUCGUCCACGAUGGCCACCCGCCGGGCCUCUGUGAGGAAGGAAAUACAGCGGCGAGGAGCAGGCCAGUCCUGCCCAGCCUUCCUUCUAUAAGAUCGAUUUCACGCCUGCGGUUUCCUCCUUUUUUAUUGGUUUAAAAACUAGAAAUGAAGCGAGUGCGGCCUCUUCUCUCUUUCGCAGCUUCCACGCCUAGAAACCGUCCCGUGUGAGAGGCACUUGCCUGCCUCAGCCCCCGGCGCGCAGUGCCCGUGGGGGUCAGAGGGGGAUUGGAAUUGAGUAACAUUUUCCACUGGGUUGCUUUGUGUUUUCAUUUUUGAAAGUUGGUCCACUUUAUUUGUGACUUACUCUUUUUUCCACAUUUUUAGUAGUGCACAUUGGUGAUGCAGAUGAAUGGGCUUUAUUCUGGCAGAUUUGCACAUGUGGCUAACCUGUGUGUAAUGUGUGUGUAACGUACCGUAAAGCUUUUCUUUGGGUUCGAGAGAUUGAAGGAGCCUGGCAUGGAGGCACGGCCUGUAACCCCAGCACUCUGGGAGGCUGAGGCAGGAGGAUGGCAAAUUCAAGCCCAGCCUGGGUGACUUAACAGCUUAGCCAGACCCUGUCUCAAAGUAAAAAAUUGAGAUAAAGCAAAAGGGGCUGGGGAUGAGGGUCCAUGCGAGGCCGACUUCAGUUCCCGUGGCACAAAACGAAAGGGCUGGUGGGGAACAGAGCCGCACUCGGACCGGAAUGUGGCCGGGCAGGUUGUGUCCCUGGAGGUGACCCCUACCUGCCAGCCGAGGCCCUGCUGGGGCUGGCGGGGGGACACAGGUGCCGACCCGUUCUCCAGGCCCCUCCGAGCUCCUGUCACAGACACAGCCCCCCACCUGGGCCAAGGACUGUGCCCCCCGGACUCACAACAGGCAGCGCGUCUGACUGAAGACUGCCCGAGGGCUCCACACCAGACCGGGAGGCAGCCGAGGCAGCAAGCGGGCUUAGGCCAGGGUGGCAAACUUCAGAGCUGUCAGGGGGCACGCACUCGGCUGUGUGGCUCCGCUUCCCCAGCGCUCCUGUAGAGCACGGCCCCUUAUAUGUUUGCAACCACAGAGGACACUGCACACAGCACCCAUGGGGAGGCUCACGACCCUGAGUGUGAGGCCAGCCUUUGAAGCAGGUCACACACAGGUUGACAGGGCUGCCCAGGAGGUGAGGCAGUGAGAGAAACAGGAAGGUGAAAGCAUGCCAGAUGUUAGCAGAUACGCACUAGUGUUGGGCGCUAUGACACAGGUUCUAAUUCUAGAUACUAUGACAGUACUAGUGCUAGGUACCACCUGGUAAGUAGUGGUAGAUACUGUGAGGUAAGCACUAGUGCUGGGUACUACUAGGUCCCUGGUGAUGUAGCUCAGUGCGAAGGUCCUGGGUUCAGUGAAGUGGGUCCCAGGUCCCUCCUGGCCACCUGCCAUCCGCCACCAGCUCUAGCGACUGUUGUGGGGGUCGUGGUUCAGGACUGCAGCCUGCAGCCUCUGGUGGCCGUGGGAGCCACAGGGGCCCAGCAAUCUGCCAGCACCCCGCAUUCCCAGGGGGCUUUGGGCAGCCCCUCACAUGAGCCUCGACUUCCGGCCGUAGAGUGGGGAUCGCUGUUCGCUUCAUGGGGCGAACACUGGGAGUUACAUGACCAGGUGUGGACCAGAUGUGGGGAUUGGCAGGCCUGGGGUCACAUGCCACCUGUAAGCCAGCACUCUGGGAGGCCGAGGCAGGAGGGUCACAUGUUCAAGCUCCGUCUGGGCAACUUAAUGAGACCCUGUCUCAAAGUAGAAAAUUAAGAAAGGGCUGAGGAUGUAGCUUGGUGCAAAGGCCCUGCCAUGUACUUAUGUCUCGCUGUGUAUAUGUCUCGCUGCCAGGCCGCUCUGAACCGUCUGUGGCACAUGCGUGGCCCCUUCAGGCGGCACGGGACAGGCCCAUCGACGGGACCGGUGGACUGGUGGUCAUCGUGUCAACACCCAGGUCCCCAAAAGGAAAAAGAGGCAUGGAAGGCGAGGGCAGUAUGGGGCGUGGUGAAUAUCCACUGGCUCAGGUAGCAUUUUUCACAAGCUGCACUUGGAUGGGAAAACCCAGACUUCGGUCCAGUUGUGCUAGAACCCGUGCUCCUCAUCGGGUGGUGUGUUUCUUCCGAGUUGUGUGCGACAUCUCGCUGUGUCCCCUCCGCCUGCCGAGCGUCCUGACGGCGGCCGGUGACCAGCUGGUGACAAGCCGUUGGCCGAGGUCUUGUCUGCCAGCCUCUGGCAGCCCCGCGGGGAGCCAGACCAUGGGCCCUGCAUCCUCUGGGCGGGGUCCUGGGGCGGGGUCGUGGGGCACAGCCGCCACUGUCUGGGCUGGCGUUUGCCGCGCUCCAGUGGCAACAGAGAGCACUGUUAGGUGAGGAAAGCUGUCCCUGCUGUGUUGCCCGCUGGCCGGCCGUCUGCACAUUGUGCACUCUGUGGUGGCCCGGCUGGGGCCGUGGUGUGGCAGCCCCUGCCAGCACAGCCGGCGAGCAGGGACAUUUAAAAUUCUGAUGAAAGCGCCAGCGGCCAGGGCCAGGGCUGCUCCCAGCACCGAGUGGUUACUCGCUUGCUCCUCUUGGUGUUUGAGACAGGGCCUGGCUGUGCACCCAGGCCUGGAACUCCCGGUCGCCCACGCUGCCCCAGCUCUUCCGCCUCAGCACCCACAGCCUCAGAGCAGCGGCGCCGGGGAUCGGCUCGUGCCCUGGGGUCUUGUGUCUUGGGUCUCACCCGCUUGGCCCAGCCGUGCCUUGAUCCGUGGGGGGACAGACACCUGUUCAACUCGCCGUCCCCUCCGCGUGGCCACCCAGCAGGUCAGCAGCCAGCCUGUCUUCCCCGUGUUCCGUGGCUCUGACUCACCUGCCCGGGUCUGAGGCCCCUGCCCCUCGAGGUUUGCUCAUUCACUUUAGGGUUGCACCCUGGUGCCCAUGAGGGUCCUGUUCCUAGUGAGUGGCAGAGAUGGCGAUGGGCUAAUAACAGCUCCCCAAAGAGGUGCGCACCCCGACCCACAGCCCGUGACCCCAUCAUCUCCCAUGAGAGGCGAAGGCUGCAGAUCAGCUGACUGUGACCUUCAGACUGACACAUGCCCCGAAUCCCAGCGCUUCAGAGGCUGAGGCAGGAGGGUGGAAAGUUCAAGCCUCACCUGGGCCCCUUAGUGGCUCAGCAAGACUCUCUUAAAGGAGAAAAUAAAGCAGGGCUGGGGACAUAGCUCGGAGGCAGGCCCUGGCUCCAGCCCAGUGCCCAUCAGUCCGUCAGUCCUGGGUUUCCAGGGCAGGCAAAGCGGGCACAGGCGUCCUUGGAAGAGAACAGGGAAGCGGCCAGGGGGGAGCAGUUGGCUUUAAACCAGUGCAGCCGGCUUGGCCUCCUGGCCAGUCAGAGAAGGGCCUGUGCUGGAGGCCCUGAGUCCACAGUGACAACUGUUUCCUCGGCAGUGGCAGCAGAAUAGAAAGCGUCGCUGGAGCCACUGCGCCCCUCGUUCCUUGCCCGGCCCCCACUUAUGCUGGGGACCCACACGUAUGUCAAGUGCGGGUCUUUUACUCUGCUUGGCACCUUGACUUUGCAGGAGGGGAGUGAGCUUUGAUAAUCGCAUAUUUUUCAUACCUGGCACACAUUAAAAGUGAGAAACACGAACCUGAAAAGUAGUAGCCAUGGUGACUUUGGAGCAAGCAGAGUCACCUGGGUUUUCGUGUUGUUUUGUUUCAACCACAGCCUUUGUAUUCACUGAGCUACAGCUUCAGCCCCUUCUUCUUAUGUUUUUUUGUUUGUUUGUUUUUACUUUGAAACAAGGUCUCACUGAGUCACUCCAGUUGUCCAGGCUGGGCCAGAACUUGUGAUCCUCCUGCCUCAGCCUCCCAGAGAGCUAGGGAAGACAGUCAUGCGCCAUCUUGCCUGGCUGACUCUUGACCUCUGAUUUCGGAUUCCCCCAGGGUGUUGAAGUGUGGCAUUUGCUCUGCUGGCCUGGAAUUGCCAGGGGUUCUUCACACAAACCCUGUCCCCGUCAGUGGGAGCAGGGAGACACGUGAGCUGGGGACUCCGCAGGAUUCGCGUGAGGGAGCCCUGCAUGGAGAGCUCACCUUGCAGUUGGAGGUUGCUUCUGUAGUGUAGAAAGAGCGCUAGUGCCAGAGCUGCCGCCUGAACACUUUCCUGUUUUAAGAAUCGGGACUGCGGACUAUUGCUGAUUUUUAAAGAAAUGGGUGGAGGCUGGGCGUGGUGGUGCACUCCUGUAAUCCCAGUAGCUGGGAGGUUGAGGCAGGAGGAUUGCCGCAAGUGUGAGGCCAGCCUGGUCUGCACAGCGAGUGCAAGGCCGAUCUGGACUGCAUAGCGAGACUCUGUCUCAAAAACAGAAAAACAAAACACAAUGAAGAAAAUGGACUUAAAGCUAGCUGGGUAGCUGGGUGGUGCGUGCACACACACACACACACACACACACACACGUCAAGGGGGGAGAGUGUGCUAUAGAAGUAUAAAAAAGCUUGGAAACUCAAACCAUUUAUGGAGGGUAUUUUCAUGUUGCAGCUUUGGGGUUUUGGUGGUGGUGGUACUAGGACAGGGCCUUGCACGUGGCAGGCAGCACUGUCACUGAGCUGCGCCCCCUUUAAUUAACUUGAUACACAGUCUCCCUGAGUUGCUCUGGCUGGCCUCCAACUCGAGACCCUCCCUCCCCAGUCUCCCGAAUGCGGGAUUACAGGCGGAGUGCUACUGCGGCCCGCUCAGGUUUGCUGGUCAUUUAAAUGUGUCCUCUUUUGCGUGUCGUGGGGGGAUUUAGUGGAUACACGUGUGUGUUGGUGUAAAAGAUGGACUGAGUAUUUCGUCCUACAAAGGGGAAGGUUCAGGAAGUUUGCUUGGGGCGAGCCUGGGGCUGGUGCCUGGCUGCUGGAGGUGAGGCCGUCUGGGCCCGGGGCGCUUGCUGCUCUGUCCCUCGGGCGGCUCUGAGCUAAUCCUCACUUUCCCGCCAGCUUCCUCAACUCUGCGUCAAUAAGCACCGCACCGAGGGCUGGUGACUGUGGUCAGGGCGGCCGCUGCAGCCGCUCCUCGGUUCUGUCCUGGCUUGGUCUGAGCUGCUCCGCCAGUCCUCAGGAGCCAGGUGUGCUGGGGCCUGGCAUUUGGGGCCGGAAGUGGUGGAGUCGGAGACCAGGAGGAGCAGGCAGGGAGGAGGUGGAGGUUGAACAGGGCGGCACGGCCUGGACCAAGCCUGGGACCACGGGCUGUUGAACAGGGUGGGAAAUCAGUUCCGAGAAGGAAGACAGGCGCCCCAGAGCUCCUUCAUCUUUGUUUGUUUGUUUUUUUGAGACAGGGUCUCACUAUGUAGCCCAGACUGGCCUCGAACUCCCAGUGAUCCUCCUGCCUCAGCCUUGGAGUGCUAGGAUUGCAGGCGUGUGCCACCUCGCCCGGCUAAGAUGGUGACAUCUUUAAAAGGGCUGUCUGUCAUCCCAGCACUCCGGAGGCUGAGGCAGGAGGAUCUCCCUGAGUUCAAGCCCCGCUUGGGCUACCAAUCAAAAUCCUGUCUUGAAAACAUAAAUAAAUAAGUAAGUACAAGCACGUUUCCCUUUCCUUCUUCUCUCCUGGGAGUGCUUUUUCCCUUCUACCUUCCUCCCCUCCCUUUGUUUCUGUGUCAUUAUCUGCUUGCCCAAUUACCCCGUUGCCAUGGGGAUGGCAUUGGUGCUAGUGGCGGAGGAGCCCUUAGGUGACGGCUGGAGGCAGGAGAGCACUCACAUCUGGUUCCUCUGCAAAUGUUUCCCAGUAGCAACUGUAAUUACAGUUACUCCAGUCUGGCAUAGAAAGGUCUGAAUGACGUAGUUUAUAUUCUUAGAAAGGAGUGGCUUCCCUUAAUUAAAGAAAAUCUUAAAUUUUUUUUUUAUUUUGUUUUUUUGAAACAGAGCCUCACUAUGAGUCCAGGCUGGCCUCUCACUCCUGUCAAUUCUCCUGCCUCAGCCUCCUGAGUGCUGGGACUACAAGCAUGCACCACCAUGCCUGGUUUAAUUAAAGAAAAUCUUAAUGGAUGAUUCUGGUCUUAUUGAGAUGAAGUCCCUAUUUUAAUUUUUGCUGUUCAUGUUUAAUUUGUACCCUUGGCUUAAUAUGUUGCCCAUUUCAACAAAAUCUUUUGUGCACAUAAUCUUUAAACAUUUUUUUUUUUCUGAGAGGUGGUCUCCCAGGUUAGCUCAGGCUGGCCUUGAAUUUGCUAGGAGGCCCAGGUCAGCCUCAAACUUGAAAUUCUCCUGUGUCAGCCUCCGGAGUGCUGGAAUGACAGGUGUGGCCACCACUCCCAGCAAGUUCAUUAUUUUAAAAGUUCUGAAAAAUCAUGCAACAUGCUGAGAAUUUGAUCCGAAGUAAUUUUCUGGUAGGUUGCAUACCAAGGAGAUGUUGGAGUAGCAGCUAGAGAAUCGCCAGCCGUGGCUGCAGAUUAGGGUUUGUAAGCAAGGGCCCCACCACAGUGGGGAAGAAACACUCACCUGUGGGGUCAGCGGGGACAACAGGGCGACCUCCGAGGUUGGAGGUGCUGGCUGCUUGUUAGAACCUGAACAAAAACCCUGGGAUCCACCCAGUUGUUGUUGUUUUGUUUUGUUUUGUUUUUGAGACAGCGUCUAGCUGUGUAGCCCAGGCUGGCCUUGACCUGUGGAGAUCCUCCUGCCUCAGUCUCCCGAGUGCUGGGAUUACAGGCGUGCACCACAGCGCCCGGCUUGGCGUCCUUUUUGCUGUAUAGAUUGCCUUUGAGAGUGGAGCAGAGGGCAGGAGCUGUGAGUGAGUCCAAGUGGCGGGGUAGGGAAGCCGCUAGCCGGCCAGCCCCUCACCUGCAAUCUGAGUCCUUAGAAAACAGGCUUGGGUUUAGGCUCAGGUGAUGCCCUAGGGCCUUGCUCGCUCCAGGCUGGGUAGAGUUUGCUUUGGUUCGAGUAGUGAGGGGCUGUGGUGGAGCCCUAGGAAGGGAAGCUGACCAGCCCCGUCUGCCUCAUCUGUCCUCAAGUGCGGGCUUUGCUUGUUUAAAUGAGAAUGGAUUCUCUGCUGAAGAGGAGGUGACACCCUAAACCCACCUGGCUGGGUGUGGUGGUGCACUCCUGUUGUCCCAGUCCUCGGGAGGCUGAGGCAGGAAGAUCGCCUCAAGUUCGAGUCCAGCCUGGGAGGAGAAGGAGGGGAGGCAGGUCCACAGGGAAGCCGGGUUUUUGCUCCCUCUCUUUGGCCCACAGCCAGCUGCAGACCCCAAGCAGGCGGGAGCCUCAGUUUCUCCGGAAGCUGCCCUCUGCUCCCUGCCCCAGCUGGCCAGUGGUGUAGACACCUCCAGUGAAGCCCUGUGGCCGCUGUGUGGCCUCCAGUGUCCCCAACCUGUACUGGGUGCUUCCCUCUACUUCCACCCCUGCGCAAGGCCUGCUGCAGUUUUUUAAUUUUGAGACCCGGUCUCACCUAAGUCACCCAGGCUGGGCUCCAAACUUGGAAUCUUCCUGCCUCAGCCUCCCAAAGUGCCUGUAUUACAGGCAUGCACCACCACAACCAGCAAAGUUUCACGUCUUGGCUUUUCUCUAUUUGAUCAACACAUCUGAGGCUUGGGAGCAGUGGGGGACGCGGGGCAGAGAAACAUGCAGCUGGGAAACUUGGGUCAGAGAUUUGUGUGGUCCACAGAUCAAGCAGAUAAACUCUUGGAGGGAGGGAGAGAGAGAGAGAGAGGGAGAGGAAGGGGGAGAGAAAGUGAACCCAGGCGUGGUGGUGCCUCUAUCAUCCCAGAAUUCAGGAGGCCUAAGCAAGAGGAUCUCUAGGAGUUGGAGCCAGUGUGGACUGCAUAGUAGUAGUUCAAGGCCAGGCUUGAACUAAGAUCGCGUCUCAAAAUAGCAGGCACCACAGCGCCUAGCUCACAGGGACACUUUUGUGGCGGCUUCUUUUUAGCAUCUCCCACCGCCACCAGCCCAUUUGCUUCUUGUGAAUUACAUUUCUUGUUUCUUUUUUACUUCGAGUUUUAUUUCUGUCUUCAAAGACAGGAUUUUGUUCAAGCAAGGGUAGUAAUCAGAGUAAAUGUGUCCAUUUUCCUUAAACUUCUUUGACUUUGUAAUUAUGCAACUUUAAUCAGAGAGCCCUCUUUACCACUUGGCGGGCCUCAGCAAAUGGCAUCUUGCUAAAAAAACUUCUGAGAUCCCAGGAAUGAAUAUUUUUAUUUGCUUACCAACUCUCAACUCCACACACAGUGACCACAGAGAAAAAUACGCUUUACUGUACUGGGAUUUGUUUGUUUUGGCGUUUUUUGUUUUUGUUUUUUUGAGACAGGUUCUCCCUACAUAGGCCAGGCUGGCCUCAAACUCAAGGCGAUCCUCCUGCCUCAGCCUCCUGAGUGCUGGGAUAACAGGUGUGCGCCACCACGCCCAGCUCAACAUUGUGUCAUAGGAGAAAGCCCUGGACUGCUGGCUGUUCGAGCCACAGGUGUGAGAGCCAAAUGCAGGAAGCAGAGGUUAGGAGACACAGGCGCUAAUCUUCGCACAACCUUCCUCGCUGGCCUUAAUUGAAUGCCCUGUGUUAGGGAGAAGCUUCGUGGCCUUGCCAGAUUUUAAAUCUAUGAUUAGAAAACAGUUCAGGCGUGCAGAAGAACAGCUCUCUGGAAGCACCUCUGUACUCCUGGCUCCUUUCUGUGCCCUCCUGCUCACGCUUGCUUUCUGUUUUCUUUUUUCCUUUUUUGGUUUUUUGAGACAGGGUCUCACUGUGUAGCCCUGCUAGCCUUGAGCUUGCAGCGAUCCUCCUGUCUCAGCCUCCCGAGUGCUGGGAUCACAGGCAGGCCCACCAUACCCGGCCUGCACAGGGUAAUUUUUAAGUGCUGUUUUUCCUUCAAAGUGCUGCUCUGUGUUUUCUGAGCUGCAAGCUUGGCUUUCGUUAGCAACCUGUGUUCUAGUAACUGGUUAGCGACAUGCAGAUUAACCCUGUGUUCUAUGGCAGCGAUUCACUGCCUAUUUCCCAAUCACUAGAAGAUCUGAAUGUUCUGGGGGAAACAAGCAAGUGGUAAAUAUCGGAGGCCAUGGAAAUGCUGCUUACCCUGACCGGGCCAGCUUAACUGUUUUAUCGGCCCGUGUUGGUGCCACAUUGUGGGCCGGUCCCCUGCAAGCAACUGGGGAGCCUGGCGCCUUACUGGGGCGCGGAUGGUGGCUGUAGCGCAUCCUGUCACCAGUGCAUUGUGGGAAUAUCUCCGGCUGGCCCUGCAGCGACUGGACUCUCAGAGCGCCGGCAUCCCGGGUCCCCUGUGCAGUGAACUCUGCGUGACAGCAGGGAUGUCUCACUCCUGGCCGCUCUUAGGUCCUGUAAGCUCUCAGGGCUGGGUGCUCUGGGGCCAUGUUCUCGCCCCCAGGCCCAGCUGCAGGAGGGCGGCCCUGAACCGAGGCGGCCAGGCGGUGGUGGCCCUGGGCGGGCUGGGCCGGGCACAGCUGUCCUCCGUCUCCUCGCCUGUGCGUCCUGCUCAGCAGGCCCUGAAUUCCACUGAGGGACACGGGGAUGCUGCCAUGCAGCACCGGGGACGACCGCCCUAGAUGUCGCACCGCCCCUUGCCUCCUGUGAGCUGGCACAGUGAGUGCCCGGGACCCAGCGGACAUGGGGGCGCAGGGCCGUGAUCACAGGACUUGGGAGGCUGAGGCAGGGAGAUCACUGGGAGUUCAGGGGCAGCCUGAACUAUGUAGUGAGGCCCUGUCUCAAAACACAUAAAUAAAUAGAUAGCUCAGGGUCUCGGCAGGCUUUGCUUUCUCUUAGGGAAUAAACUUCCAUUCUCGGGAGGUGUACUGGUGCACACGCAUGCGCACACACAUGCACACACACAGGCAUGCACACUCAUGCACACACACGCACACUCACCCAGUUUCUCUUUGAGUUUAAAAAUUACGGGUUUUUCCUCUAGCUAGAAAGGAGUCAGAGCCAAAUGUGCACCCCAGGUUUGGGAUUCUGUAAGGCCGACGCUGGUGCUGCACUCUCUCAUUUGCAUUAGUAAAUCUGUACGAUGCUCGCGCUGGCCACUGCUGUUUCCAACCUUCCACUAAUAAUUCCCUCUGCUCUUUGAGCCUUUCCAGGAUGCUGUGGAGCUAGCACAGUUGUGGUCCCCACCUUUGCUUGUUGGAGAUGGGAUCUCGCCGUGUAGCCAGGCUGGCCUUGAGCACAGCGAUCCUCCUGCCUCAGCCUCUAAGUGCUGGCUCCCAGGCGUGCAGCGUCUCACUGGCUGGUGUCCCUGUUGACGGCUGGAAGCCCCGAGACCGGCUGUCACCCUGGGCCUCAGGGUGCAGCAUAUGGAGGGAACCUCGAGUCCUCUCCCACCCCCGUGCUUCGCCUCCCGCCUUGCAUCGUCAGGGCUGCUGAACUGUGUUGGGUGGAUCAAGCACCUCUGGCUGGGCCCAGGGCUGUCCGAAUGGGGCUGGCGUGGCAUCUUCCCAUUGACCAUCUGGGGGGACUCAGGGACACAUUCGUUCUCGAGUCUCUUCCCGGAGGUCGGUGUUUGUGAUGCUGGUAUUUUGAUGGGCCAGGUGAGCCCCCCUGGGGGACCCACUCCAGCCGCAUCAGUACAGUGUCACAUCACAGUACCUCGACUCCAGACCUGUGUCUCGUAGCACAUCCCACUUCUGCCACAACCCAGUUUUCAGCUAUUUAAAAAUCUGUUAAGCCAGGUAUGGAGACACAUAUUGCAAUCCUAGCACUCUCAGGAGGCUGAGGCAGGAAGAUCGAAAGUUCCAGCCCAGCCUGGGCGACCUAGCAAUUUAGUGAGACUGUCUCAAAAUAAAAAGGGCCGGGGACGCUCAGUGUGAAGGCCCUGGGUUCAAUCCUCAGAGUGCAAAAGAAAGGAAAGCAAGCCGUGUCUGUCCGCUGUGCAGUACUCGAGGCUUGGCUCACUCAGGCCUUCUGUCCCUGGCUACCUGAGGCAGCUGGAGCCCAAAGAGGCCUCUGCCUUUGGGAGGGAGGAGCGAGCCCCUGGUGCUGACCUGUGACCUCCAGGCCGGGCCCAGACUGCUCUGCUGUUCAAGGAGGGUUUUGCUCUGAAUCUAAAACCAGCAGCUUUUGGUUGGAGCUCUGGGCUUUGGUGUGUUCUCCAGAUGGCCCUGCUGUCCCGCCCUGCUGGUUGCUGUGGGGUUCGCUGGGGACGACCCCACCCCAGGAUGGAGCCUGGGGCCCUGGAGUCUCUGGUGCUGACGGACCAGACUCUGGGACUCACUGAGAUUCGGGGUUCAGCGCGACCCUGUGCAGGCGCCUGGCUGCUGUCCGAAGAACUCACUGUGAUCCUCCCUCCCUCCCUCUCUCUCUCCCUCUGAGACAGGGUCUCCCUAUGUAGUCCAAGCUGGCCUUGAACUCACUGUGCAGCCCAGGCAGGCCUCGAACUUACCGAAAUCCUCCUGCUUCAGCCUCCUGAGUGCUGGGAUCACAGGCAUGUGCCACCACGCCCGCUAGUUUCUCUAAUUUGAUUGCUGAAUAAAUGCUUCUCCUCAAAUGCAUCUCCUGAAUGCAUCUCUUGAAUGCAUGUCCUCUUUGGAACCAUAGCCACAGGACUGUAGUUAAGCAGCCCCGUGUCCAAAUUAUUCCUCAAUGUUGAGGCUUGUCCGAAAAUAAAUAAAAAUCCUAAAAACUUCAUUGCCAGCCGCCUUUGGACUAGUUGGGCCUACACGGAGGACAGGAGAUUUUGCCUAGAUCUGCCAAAAGGCCGGUGGCUGGAAUAUAACUGUUGCGCUCCAGCCCACAGAUUUUUGAAUAGGUAAGAAAUAGAUGAAAGGGUUACACAAAGAUGUGUUUACGGCUCUGUUCCUGAAGAAAUCACAGAGCUUCCAAGGGUCAGUUUCUACUUCUGCACUUGUUUAUUUUGAUGUUGGUGUAUUCGUUUUAUUUGGUGCUGGAACAGAACCCAGAACCUGGUCGUUCUUGGGCACAUUGACCCCGCCCACAGCCCCAGGAGUUGUGUGACUUUUAGAAAGUGUGAGAUGCAGUGGAGCAGUGGCCUUUCGUGCGGGGUGCUCCGUGACCCCAGCCAACAUCGCGUGGCCUUGAGGCAUCUGGGCCACCACAUCCUGUUUCCAUGGCAACCCACGGCAGCAGCGGCCCCAGCUGGGCUCCACUCAGGCCAGGAGGGUGUGAGGGAUUCUCCCGAGCCAGCGAUUUGCUGAAACGUGGACCUGGGGGGUUGGAGUCUGUGUCUGGCCCUUCUAAGAAGGUUGACCCCAAGCCCUGUCCUCUGCUCACGCCUCACUGGUGCUUUGUGUGAAACAGAGACACAAAUUCACGGCUGGGAGUGGGGGGCCUUGCAUUUUCAGCUGGGCCUAAGAAAUCAUAAGUGUCCGGAGUCAUAAGUGGGGUUUUUCUUUUGGAGACAGGGCAUCACUGUAGCCCAGGCUGGCCUUGAACUCAUGAAAUUCUCCUGCCUCGGCCUCCUGAGUCCUGGGACUACAGGUGUGCAUGGAGAUUUCUUCAAGACAAAAGACAAACCACAUCCCUCCUGGGCCCUCUUUAUUCUUAGAAAAACCCAAAUAUCCUGGGGUAAGAGGCCUGGUGGGCUGUCCAAGGCCACCCUGGCCCAUCUCAGCCAAGCAGUUUCCGUCCUGGAACAUGGGAACUGGAAACAAAGUGAAAUGCUGUUCUCCAGGAGCUUGGGUGGCACUUCUACCUCACACACGUAAUGGCAGCCAGGUGUCAAAAUGAAGAUUAUCUGAUGAGGAAAGAAAGGAGAAACGUUCCUAAAAUGACUCUGGUAUCCAUGCAAGGCUCAAGGUAUUAAAUAAAUGAAGGAGCCAGGACCUCCCUGGGGAGAUUGGAGGGUCGUUCAGGGACACCCCAAGAAGGACAUUUAAGUCAAAUGAACAGAAACUCAAAAGACAACAACAAAACCCUUGGCAGAUGUCGGGGCUCCACUAUACUCCCACCUCUCGGGAGGCUGAGGCAGGAGGAUCGCUGCAAGUUGAAGGCCAGCCUGGGCUACGAAGUGGGAAUUUGUCUCAAAAAAUAAAAAUCCCCCUCAAAAACAGAAAACCCUUGUCCCUGUACCUGCUGUGUGUCUAUGUGUGUGGCUUUUUUUUUUUUUUAAGUGCUUUUGUUCCUUUGAAUAUUAAAUGCAGAGACAUGAUAAGGAAGACUGUCGCGUGCUCCCAUGUUAGGGAGAAACAGCCACCACUGGGGACUCUGCACGGGAUGGGAGCUGAGAGUUUUAUUCUAGGUUUUUGGCUUCUGCUGUCUCAAGUCUGUGGACAGGGUUGAGUCAGACCACCUAGGCCAGCUGAGCGUCCGUCCCUGUUCCUGUUGGUAUUUGCCAGCGAACCCUCUCACUUCUACAGCUGCUUAUGCCAUGGUCAGCAACUCUCCUGACAAGAAAGAGAGAGACUGGUGUGGUGGCACGCACCCACUCAGGGAGGCUGAGGCAGGAGGAUUGCAAAUUUGAGCCCAGUCUGGUCAACUUUGAGAGAGCCUGUCUCGAAAUGUGAAAAGUAAACAGGAGAGCUGCACAGCGGGGGUGAAGGCCCGGUUCAUUCCUCCCCCGCCGCCGCCCGGGAGAGUAGCGGUUGUGUUUGGUAGCCUGCCCAGUGACUCAGCUGCUCCCGGAGGGAAUGCAGGGCAGUCCCGGGCGGCGGCGGCGGCGGCGGGCGCGAGGUCAGCGGUGACUCAGGCCGCAGGCGGAGGCGGCUCUGGGGACUGACUUGCAGGUCUCCCACGGGUUCCGUCCUCGCCCUGAAAUAACCGUUGAUCUUGAGAGGUUUCCGUGGGGAGAAAUAAUGUUUUUAUUUCAGUUACAAGCGUGGUUUGUUGACUGUGCCUUUUGAAGGACGCUUUUGUUUUGCUUUGUUUUGGAUUUUACUGUUUCCCGGGCUGGCCUGACUGCCUCGCCCUUCCUGCCUCAGCCUCCGGGUGCUGCCACCACACCUGGCUCGCCCGGCUCUCAGAAGGACUUGGCAGAGCCGCACAGAGGGAGGGCGGGGCCGGCCGCGCUGACUGGGGCCGAGGAGGGAGUGUCCUGUCCCGUCCCCUCCCCUCCUGUCCCGCUGGCCGCCCACGCUGGCCCGGCCCCUGCGCAUUUCCAGGAAAUGUCCCCGCAGACCUAGCAGGGCCUGCGGGAGGCAGAGGAGCAGUUUCUCCCCGGGGCUGGGCCGGACGCUCACGAGGGGCUCCCGGGAUCCAGCGGCCCAGGCCGGAAAGGCGCUGGAAAGGGACUCUGGACCCAGCCCGGGGUUCCAAUCCCGUCCCUGCCACUUGGCGAAUGUCUGGUUUCUGAUCCAAGCCAGACCCCUUCAAGCGAUUGAUUUCUUCCUCUACUGAGGACUGAAGUACCAGAAGUCAUACUGUACAUCACCUGAGAAAACACUCCCAGGAUUUCCGGAAUGACAUAUUUUGAAAAUGAGACACUGGGCUUGGGUCCGGGGAGGGUGAUGGGGGGCACCCGAGAUGCCCUGAGCUAGAUGUAGGGUUUGGUUUUUUGUUUUGAUUUGCUUUUUUUUUUUGAAUCAGGGCCUCGCUCAGACCGCAGGACCCUCCGGCCUCAGUCUCCCCAGGACUGGGAUUGAAGGCGUGCGCCAGCACGACCAGCUGGUCUUGGCUUUUUGAGCCACGUCUCACCCUGUAGUUCAGGUUGGCCUUGCACUCAGGGCAAUCCUCCUGCCUCAGCCCCCAGAGUGCCCAGCAAGUGUGGGUGGGGCUUUUGUACUGUUUGCUGCAGCUCAGGUGAGCUCCGGCCUGUCCCUGGAGGUGCGGAGGGUUUCAACUCCCUCACACCAGGUGACAUGGGACACAUGUGUCUCCGUGAUGGCUCCUGCAUGUGGCCCUCGCUGGCUCACUGGAGGAGGAAGGCCCGGUUGGCUGGGAAGGCGGGAGCAGUGCGUGGACUGUGGGGGAGCCCGGCCUGCGGACUCUGACCCGGGCUCCUGAGCAGAGGCCUGGGAAGAUGAAAUGGGGGGUUGGAGUCACAGCCAGGCCAGGUAACGUGGUGAGCUGGGGCACUGGGCCAGCCAAGGGCACAGGUGGGCACCAGCCUGCUUCCGUCAGGGCAGGACGGCUGGGCGGCUCCCCCAGCAAGAGAGGGACAGACAGGCUCGAGGUCAUCAAGCCAGUCUUCUGUUGGUUGUUUGUUUUGUUUUGCUUUCUGAGACAGGGUCUCACUAGGUAGCCCGGGCUGGUCUUGAACUUGCGGUGAUCCUCCUGCCUCAGCCUCCCAGAGGCCAGGAGUACAGGCGUGGGCCAGGAGGGCUCCCUGGACAGUAUUCUAGGCACAGCUCCUGCUCAGCAGCGUGACAUUGCUUAGCACCUCCACCCCCUCCCCACUCCGACGGUCAGUCAGUCACCUGACGCCCUCUCCUGCACCCACCUGGCCUCUGAGCCCCAGGAACUUUCUGCCGUUUGCCUCACUUCCUUCUUGCCCGCCGUCCGGCCUGGAGGCGAGCUUUCACCUUCAGCCUCACACAGUGACUUGCUGUAGUUUCAGUGCCUUGUUUGUUUUCUAAUGACCUCAAACCAGGGACUCUGCCUGUGGUCCCAGCCUGGGAGGCUGAGCCAGGAGGCUCACUGUGAGUUGGAGGCCAGCCUGGGCACAUAGUGAGUCCCUGCCCCCCACAAAAAACACCCAAAUCUUAUUUUGUUGGUCAGCCCUGGGGAAAGAGAGCUGUGGUUUCCCCACUAAGGCCAGAGUCGGGAAGGGACCCGUGGCUGAUUCUCCGAGUUGUUCUGGUCUCUGUGGCCUCCGCAUGGCUCCCUGCAGAACACCAAGCGGAGGGGAGGUGUGCGGCCAGAGGAAGCCGGGUCCUUGUCUAACAGCCCGGUGCUGAGUGGCACUCCAGGCACCCGGGGAGAUGCUUGCUCAGGGUCCCGCCUCGUGGCCAGGGUGGGGUUCGAACCUCGUGAGGUGCAGGAUUUUAGAAUGUUAGAGCCGAUCGUCCUGGGUUAAUUUGCUUCUGAGAUCCCCAGUUUUUGAGUGAACUUUAUUGUUCAUUAUCUUAACAAACCCAAAGGAAGCUGGGUGUGGUGCAUCCAUGAGUAGUCCCAGCACUCAGGAGGCUGAGGCAGGAGGAUGGCCAUGAGUUAAGACAAACACCACUGUUUUCGACAUGGACCUCUCACGGCCUGGGUCAGUAUCCCCACGUUCCCCGGAACAGGCCACUGUUGGGACGUGGGGCCAGCGGACCCCUCUGCUCUCUUGUGAGGAAUGGUCACACGCCCUCCCCUUCAUACAGAACUCCAUAAACCUUUUGUGAAGACUACAAGGGUCACAGAAGUCUAAAGUCGUGCAGCAAGACCGAGCCCAGCUUCUAAGUUGCGCAUUCUCCUGUGACAGAAAUGUUCGACGUCCGACUUGUCUCACAUAACGUUACAUCUCCCUGCAUCCAUUUCCUGUCCAUGACCCAAGCUGAUCCUUCUUGAUGGCAGAGUAGUACUCCAUCGUGUAAGGGCCGGGGACUUAGCUCAGUGGUUCCGCCGCCUGCCUCAAAAGUGCAAGGUCCCGAGUUUGAUCCCCGGUACCAAAAAAAAAAAAAUAGCAUCGUGUGUCAGUGCCAUAUUCUCUCUCCAUUCUCUGCUAUGCACACACAGGCAGCUUCCAAGGUGCAGCGCUGAGCCGUGCUGCCACCCGCCGGGUGUGCGCGGUCCCUGUGGCCAUCUGGUCCCCACACGGCCAGACAUGGGACCUGGACCCCUUCUUGGCUCUGGGGACCCAGGGACGGGGCUGUGCUCUGGGUCUCAGCGGUGAGGUGUCUUCCCCUUGCGGAGUGCGGUGUGAGCUGCUAAGUCAUUGCUUGCUGACGAGCUCCAGAGAUGUGAGCUCUUUUCCAGCCUGGUGCUGUUAAACCAGACACGUUUCCCAGCUGGGGCGCAGCUCAGGGCAGGGCCCUCCCUAGCAGGCGGGAGACCCGGGCCUCAUCCCCAGCGCUGCUGAAAAAAAUCCCGCUGGCAGCUGACGUCUCCGCCUGGAAUCCCAGCUAUGAGGCUGAGGAGGAGGACCAUUUCUGAUUUUAAGGCCAGCCGGUGCUACAUAGCCCGACCUCGUCUCAAAAACCAAAAAAGAAAAAGAAAAAAGCAUGGGAGCUGGAAACGCUUCUUGCUGCAGAUGAUGGCACAAGAGAUGUUUUAGAAACAAACUCAUUUUCCAGGCUCUUUGCUUCGUGGGGAGCCAGGCAGCAGAAUUUCUUUGAAUCUUUAAAUACAGGCUUUUGAAAGCAUGUGUGGAUCUUGAGCAGCAACAUCAGGUGAUUAUUUAUAGUCAAGUGCUUUUAUUUAUGUAUGGUCAUCAAUGAAAAUUAGAAGGGAAAUAAGGUGAAAUCUUAAUUCCAUCUUUCAGCUUCCUGAUGCUGAGCCUUUUUGUGUCCCUGCCUCCUCCAGGGUGUUUUGUGCAGGGUGGAGCAUCCUGUGUCUCUAACCCUGCUUCACCCUUGGAAAUGGUUCUGAGCAUAGCACGGUCCCAGGAAUGGACUAGCGCAGAGCCAGCUGGCUUCACUGACCUGCUGCUCACUGCUGCUUUGAGGGGCUCCGUUUUUGUUUACUUUUCUGAGAUAUGGUCUUGCUAUGUAGCCCAGGCUGGCCCUGAACUUGCAGCUGAUCAUCCUGCCUCAGCCUCCUGAGUGCUGGGCUCACAGGUGUGCACCACCCUCGCGCCUGGCUCUGAGGCUUUGAUUUUUUUCUCCAUGCGCAGUGGCUGUUUGAAGCUCCCCUGGCGGAUGCGUGCACGUUUGCACCUCAGCGGGCCCUCAGUGUGCUGUGCACGCACUUUCCCUUGCCAAAGACGUUGGAUGAGCUGUGCGUACAGAAAACAGUCUUUGUGCUCAAAAGCAUCUUUAAGAUAAUUUCCUGGAGGGGCUGGGGAUUUAGUUCAGUGGUUCUGAUGCCUGCUUCUUGAGCCCAAGAACCUGAGUUCAAUCCCUGGUACCAAAAAAAAAAAAAAAAAAAAAGAGGGAGAGGACUGAGGGGUUCAAGGCCAUGUGUCUUUCACUAUUUUGUUUUAUUUAAACAUUCACGCGCCUCUCCGGGUCUGUCCUGAGCAUCUUUUUUUUUUUUUUUUUUUUUUUUUUUUUUUUUUUUUUUUUUUUUUUUUUUUGGUACCGGGGAUUGAACUUGGGUCCUUAUGCUUGUGAGGCAGGUGGCAGAACCACUGAGCUAAAUCCCGGCCCCGUCCUGAGCAUCUUAAUUCCAAUAAUCCCCGUCCACCUCCCCACGGGUCCGACACCUUCCUAGGGGAGACCCAGAACCCGCUCUGCAUGCUGGGCUUGGUCCCCACCUCCUCUCUGGGGACACCUCGGAACCCCGGAGGUGGCCGGCCCUCCUGCUCAGGAGGCCGAGGCAGGAAACUUUGAGACCCGCCUGGACAAUACAGUGAUGUCUCAUCUCAAAAACCCCUAUUUGAUAGCUGGUGGGUUUUUGUUGUUUUUUUGUUUUUGUACUGGGGAUUGAACUCAGGUCCUUGCGCUUGCGCAGCGGGCGGCGAAACCACUGAGCUAAAUCCCUGGCCCCCCCUUGGAACACGCGCUCGCCCUCACCCUUGCCGCUCUGCAGCAGCUCCGGAGUCCUCUUUGCUGAGGGUCUUUAUGAGGUCUCAUCAAAAACACAGUGAAUGCAGCCGCUAUUGCCGUCCAGCAGAAAGGCCGCUCCUAAACCACGGCGCUGCGUCUUCAUCCACCUUGGUCACUGGAUCUGGCACCCUGUGACUCCUGGAUCCUCCCCAAAGUCAAAGUGACCUGGAAAGGGAAAAGUUUGGCACGGAUUCAGGGCAUCCAGGCAGCUAAAGACCCUCAGGAAAGAGGAUUCCAGAGCUGCAGCAAAAAGCGGCGAGGAGAUGGGAUGAGUGUGUUCAAAGUGGGGAGAAUUGCAAGGAGGUUCGUGGCAAUGUGUCGUUCACUGUAAAUUUAAAUAUCCACUGUGUUUUCCAGUCACCCCUUAUAAGUAGGAGGCCCAUUUAGUUUUUAAGACUUAGGCAUUAGGAGCGAGCAGCCUGGAAAAGAAGAUAUUGUAACCUUGAGUAACUCUGUGUCCAGAAGCUAUAGUUUUUUAAAGUACAAUUUAAACAUUACAAUUUCCCUUAUCUCCAUUCUACCUAUCUUUAUUUCUUCUGUUCCACUUCAGAGUUAAAUAUCUCAUGUUAUGAUAUUCCCAGAAGAAAUACUAAAUAGGCCGGGCAUGGUGGUGCACACCUAUAAUCCCAGCUACUGGGGAGGCUGAGGCAAGAGGAUCCCAAGUUCAAGGCCAGCCUGGGAAAUGUGGUGAGACCGUAUCUCAGGACAAAAUAAAAAGGGCUGAAAAAAAAAAAAAGAAAAAAGGCUGAGGAUGCAGCUCAUUGUUAGGGCGCUUGCCUAGCAUGCACAAGACCUGCAGUGGUUUGUAAACAAGCUCAGGAGCAGUGUAUCCUGUUCUCGGUUUUUGCAGAAGGGAAACAAGCAAUUGUGUAAGGGUCACUGCAAAAUCGAGGGUGUGCAAAUAGCCCAUGAUCCUUGUCAACGGCCACCUACUCUCUGGUGGACAGUUCAGACUCUGUACAGGGACAUUUAGUGUCGAAGACAACAAAGGACACGUUUGUUUGUUAGAAGCCCUCUUUGUCCUUUGAGAACCAGCGCAGUCGGUCUCGGUGGAGCUCAGCCUUGCCCAGCUGACGGCUGGGGGGGGGGGGCGUCCCUGCAGGUCGGGGUCAGUUUCCCCGUAGCUAAGAACCGGAAGGAUUCGGGUCUAGAGAAUGUGGCUCGUGCUUGCUUCCUUUGGCAGCACAUGUACUAAAACAGAGAACGUGGCUCCCCGGGAGGCCACACGUCCCCUCUGUUCCCAGUCAUCUGAACGCCCACAUACUGCGCUACAGUAGUUCCUGCAAAAUAUUUAAGUGCUGUGGUGCAUAGAUUUUGUUGUUUCCUUCAAGUAAAUAUUUUUAACAGACAGAUGUUACAGUUUCUAUUCAGAUGCCCCCAGUAUGCUCGCAGGUGGGGCCAUAGGGAGCUGAGUGGGUCAGGACGGACCCUGUGGUGGAUUAGUCCGUGGUGCGUUGGUACCUGAACGCGGUGCUGGGAGCUGCAGCCUGGUGGCGCGGGGUCACUGGGGCGUGGCCAGGCCGGUCUGUCUCCCUCCUCCUCCCUUGAUCUCUCUCUGCUUCCUGUGCACCAGGCCCCUCUGCGGUGCCGCCCUGGUGGGAGCCAGCCAGCUCUGACUGAAACCUCUACAAACUGUGAGCUAAAUAAACUUCUCCUCGCUCUGUUGUUUCCCUUUCUGUGUAGACUUUAAAAUUUGAUAGGACCCCCUAUUUGUUGAUUCUCAGUAUUAUUUCUUUCGUGAUUUGGAUUCUGUUCAGAAAGUCCUUGCCUAUGUCUUAGAGUUUUACCUAUUUUGUCUUCCAGCAGAUUGUUUCUGUUUUACCAUUUAGAUCUUUGAUCCAUUUUGAUUUUAAUUUAUGGUGAGAAAUACAGGUCUAGAUUCAGUCUCCUGCAUAGGAAAGCUGAUUUUCCCCGGCACCGUUUAUUAAGAGACUGUCUUUCCCUCAGUGUAUGUUUUGGCCCCUUGGUCAAAAUUCAGGUAGCGAAAGUGCAUGGAGGCGUUUCUGCAUCCUUUUUUCUGUUGGCCACAUUUCUGUUGUUCACAUUUCUGUUGUUUUCCUCCAGUACCAUGCUGUUUUUAUCACAGUAGCUUUGUAAAAGUACAACCCGAAGUCCAGGAUUGUGAUACCCCUGCUUUGCCCUUGUUGCCCAGAUUUGCUUUUGCUAUUCUAAGUCUGUUCUGGUUUCAUAGGAAUUUUAGGAUUGUUUUCUCUAGUUCUGUGAGUAAUGCUAUUGGCAUUUUGAUUGGCAUUGCAUGAAAUCUGUACAGCAAUUUUGGAAAUAUGGCCAUUUGGACAAUAUUUGUUCUGCUCUCCAGGAGCAAGGGUUCGUCUUUCAUUUUCCACUGUCCUUCUAGAUCUCCUAUUUCAGAGCACUGUAGUUUUCAUUCUAGAGCUCUUUCACUUCCUUCAUUAUCCCAAUUCCUAAGUAUUUAAUUUUUCUUGGUGCUACUGUGAAUGAUGGUGUUGUCCUCAUUUCUUUCCUGCUGAGUUCAUUAUUGGUGUGCAGGAACAUUGUUGAUUUUUGUGUGUUGGUUUUGUAUCCUGCUACACUACUGGAUUUGGUUAUUGAUUCUAGGAGUCUUUUGUGGAAUGUUUUGGGUCUUCUAUGUAAAGGGUUAUGUCAUCUGCAAAUACUGAUAAUUUGACUUCGUCCUUUCCUGUACGACCUCCCUUUUUUCUUUCUCUUGCCUGAUGACUCUGGCUAAUGUUUUGAGAAUUGUACUGAACAGGAUUGCUCAUAGAGGUCACCCUUGUCUUGUCCCUGAUUUUAGAGGGAAAGCUUUCAGUUUUUCCUCAUUUAAUACGAUGUUGGCUAAAGACAACCUACAGAAUGGGGAAUUUUUUUUCCCAGCUAUUCCUCGGCGGCUAGGUAAAUAUUUUAUAGAUGUGUCUCAAAUACCAAUGUAAUGCUCACUUACAUUUCUUUUUUUUUUUUUUUUGGUACCAGGGAUCAAACUCAGGUCCUUGCGCCUGUGUAGCAGGCGGUGAAACCACUGAGCUAAAUCCCUGGCCCUCACUUACGUUUCUUAACAUUGUUUAAAUGGCAUUCUGUCUGAUUUGGGGUUUUAAACUUUUAGGUUAAUUUGCUCCUAAUGAAGUUAUUCUCUUGGUGUCUCUUCCUCACAUGUGCCAAUCCUCCAGCUCGGUGUUGGGUUGGGCUGGAAAAUCUGGGUCCCUAGCCCAGCCCAGUGGAACACACACCUGUUACCAGCACUCAGGAGGCUGAGGCAGGAGGAUCACUAUGAUUUCAAGGCUGGCUGGACUACAUAGUGAGUUCAAGGCCAGCCUGAACUGCUGUAAGACCCUCCAAAAACAAACAAACAAAACUAUGUCAAGCUCUAGACUUGAGGCCUUUCCUCGUAAGUUGUACGAAAGUGUGUCUAGUGUGGUUUCUGCAGCAUCACCUGGGCUUGAGAGUUUCCUGACCCAAGGCUGGGAGCUGCGUGCUGAGCAGUCACUGAAUGUCUUCACCGCAGGCACCAGCUGAACACGGCCUCUCCUCAUCUCUGCCUUUGUGCCCUCCACGCCAGGGCAGGAGCAUUGAUCUCCUUCCUUGUCUCCUGCUGAAAGCUAUUGCGGCUUCUGUCUCAAAACAAAGUGGCAGCGUUCUCUCUCAAUGCCACAGCAAACCGAGCACGACCGCAGGCUUCAAGAAGUGAGUUUUUAAAAGCUAGGUGUGGUAGCACACACUUGCAAUCCUAGCUACUCAGGGGGCAGUGGCAGGAGGGCCAGGAGCUGGAGAGGCCAGCCCGGAUGACUUAUCAAGACCCCACCUCAGAAAAGAAGGGAGUCAUGGUACGCACCCGUUCCAGGAGCCUGCUUCUCUCAGUCUGUGCAACCGCUUUGAUGGAGGAGGAAGUGGACGCACUGUUCGGCCACUGUGUGGAAAGAGAAAUCAAUAGGUGGGGUUCUAAAAUAACCUGAGGGCCAUGAAGUCAAGGAGCUGCUUUAAAGUAGAAAAUUAGUACAGUUUGUUAUGUAUUUAUUUACUUUUGAGAUAAGGUCUUUCUCAGAAGCUCAGGUUGGCCUUAAACUUGGGGCAGUCCUCCUGCCUUAGCCUCCUGAGUGCUGGGAUGACGUGUGCACCAGUGCACGGGGCUUCUGGCCCCUAUUCUAAGGAGACGAUAUUGGCAUCAGUGCAGGACUUGCGCACAGUUUGGUCAGGAGCAGGGCUGCAGGGCCCCCGCGAAGAGUGACAACAGCAGAGCCCGAGGGGUCAGGACAGGGAGAGAGCUCCAGCUGAGUGGAGCAGCAAAGGCUUCCUUGGGAGGGGUCGGGUGCGUCCCCUGCUGACACCGGGGUUGUGAGCUUCGUAGACAAGUGUUCACGGGGCGGGGGGGGGACACCCCGCGCCCUGCCCCUCCUCCCCAGGUGUUGCCGGCGUGAGCAGAGCCAGGCGCAUCUGCUGCCCGCCCCGCUGGACUCCCGCCUGUGACACUGACCCUCGUUGGCCGGCUGAUGGGGCGGGCCAUGCACUUCUGGUGAAGGUGCCCUUCCAGCAUCCCGCUGGCCCGGAGGUGCGACUGGGGACUUCCGGUCCCUGCCUCUCCUCCCUCAGGGCUUUC